rnacentral:misc_RNA from 1 species
GAUGAAGAACGUAGCGAAAUGCGAUAAGUAAUGUGAAUUGCAGAAUUCAGUGAAUCAUCGAAUCUUUGAACGCACAUUGCGCCCGCCAGUUUUCUGGCGGGCAUGCCUGUCCGAGCGUCAUUUCAACCCUCGCGCCCAUCUGGGCUGCGGUGUUGGGGACCGGCCUGCCCCCCCGGGGCGCGCCGCCCCCCAAAUUCAGUGGCGGUCUCGCUGCAGCCUCCCUUGCGUAGUAGCACACCUCGCACCGGAGCGCAGCGCGGCCACGCCGUAAAACCCCCGACCCCCAUGAGUUUGACCUCGGAUCAGGUAGGAGUACCCGCUGAACUUAAGCAUAUCAAUAAGCGGAGGA